rnacentral:rRNA from 1 species
UAGGGGGCAAGCGUUGUCUGGAUUUAUUGGGCGUAAAGCGCUCGCAGGUGGUUCGUUGCGUCGUGCGUGAAAGACCCCGGCUCAACUGGGGGGUGUCGUGCGAUACGGGCGAACUGGAGGCCAGUAGGGGGAUGCGGAAUUCCGGGUGUAGUGGUGGAAUGCGUAGAGAUCCGGAGGAACACCAGCGGCGAAGGCGGCAUCCUGGACUGGUCCUGACACUCAGGAGCGAAAGCGUGGGGAGCGAUCCGG